UUUCAGCAGGUAACCGGCGCCAGACCAGAUCUCCAGAGAUGGAGGUGGUCGGCCUCAGGGCCCAGCCAUGAGAAGGUGUAUGAGGAGGCAUCGCAUCAGGCGCCCACCCUGUGCUUGCAGGGCCUGACCAUGAGCGCCGCCUUCAGUUUUACACCUUAGGCACCCCACUUGGCUCCCCUUCGUCCCAGCCCUGCCAGACCCACCCUUGACUCUGUGUUUCCUUUCUGGAAACUCGAGAGGCCAUUUCUACUUAAAGAGUCCUCACCUGGCCUACCAGCGACCAGAUCUGCCCAAGUGCAGAAGAAACACUUGGUUAUCUCCUCUUUCAUCGUCCCCGCUCGAGCAUAAAACAACAGAAAGUUUCCUAUCGGAACAGCAUGCUUGUGCCAAAAACAAAUUAGAAACAACAACAACUUCUCAAAAUUUUGAGCAAAAUGAUGGUGACCGUGUUCUGGAAAUGGAGCAAAGUGAGUGAGCCACUGUCACUGUUACAUCUGACAAUCACUACUGGUACUUGGCUAAAUAUUGCAGCCACCUCUUCAGGCUACACAUGUCAGGUGUACCAGAAGCACCUUCCGCCUCCAGCUCACUUCUGGGAGAUAUUUAGAGCUGACUCCUCUCCCCUCCCCAGUCUCCAGCCACCAGCAAGCUCUCUCCUUGGUGUCCCCAGCUCCUGCCCCUCAUGCUGAUAGAAGCAUUGCCCGCUGUUCUUCCUGUUCUUACAGGUUUCCUAGUGCCUGUGACCAAACACCUUGUGUGUGCUCCCCAGGAGAGAAAACCGCUAGCAGCCUCAGGUGUGGAGCCUGGGGAAUUCAAGAUCAAGGUGCUAGCAGAUUAGUGUCUGGUGAGGACCGGCUCCCUGGGUUGCACACCUGCCUUCUUGCUGUGUCCUCACGUGGCCUUUCCUUGGUGGUGUGCCUGUGAAGAGAGAGAGAGCUCUCCUGUCUUUUCCUCUUCUUCUAAGGGCACUAAUUCCAUCAUGAGGGCACCAUCCUCAUGACCUAAUCCAAACCUAAUGAUCUCUCAAAGGCUGCACCUCCAAAUACCAUUAUACUUCGGGUUAGGGCUUCAACAUACAAUUUUGGAGGAGACACAAACAUUCAUCCCAUUUAUUUGGUGCUCAAUAAAUAUUGGAUGUAUGAAUGGAUGGAAUAAAAAAAGAUAAACCUGUGUGGUAAUUGGAUAGAAAACACAUGGACAUACAGUCAUAUGCCACAUGACGUUUCAGUCAAUAAUGAACCGCGGAUAUGAGAGGAGUCCCAAAAGAUAUAAUGGGCCAGGAGCUGUGGCUCACACCUGUAAUCCCAGCACUUUGGGAGGCCAAGGCAGGCAGAUUAGUUGUGGUCAGGAGUUCAAGACCAGCCUGGCCAACAUGGUGAAACCUUGUCUCUACUAAAAAUACAAAAAUUAGCUGGUCACAGUGGCACAUGCCU
rnacentral:lncRNA from 10 species